GUCCAUUUGCGUACACAACAUGUCUUAUUUUGCUUUAUUUGGGCCGAUGGCAAGCCCCACAGCAUGCAAGAAUGUUGCCCAGCAAGCAUGUUAGGUCCCGUGAAGAGCCACUCCUCUUUACCUGGGCAGCCCUGAAACUGACUGUACUGUACUGUACUGUACUGUACCUGUCAGCUCUUCUAGUUGCUGUGUUGUGCUGCGGUCAGACCGCAAAUGUCCGUUACGACUCGGCCCACGUCUUGUGUUGAUCGGCCCAUUUUUUUGAUUGUGUACAUUUGAAACUGAUCUUAUUCUCUGUUACAUUUUCUAUGUCCAAGGUUUGUAAUGAUAACAAAGUAAAGUAUAUCACAACUGUAUGUUCUUGUUUUUUUUUUUUUUUUGUCCCCCCCCCAAGUAAAUGUUUUUUGUCAUAAAAUCAUUAGUCUGAGCGGGUCGCUUCCUCAGUUUCUUGUAGGAGAUGCUGAACUCCAUUAUGUUCAUAGGGUACAUUAUAUAGGAGAAGAUGUUUGAAAAUACUCUGGAAGCCUGUUGAUAGCGGAAAAAAAAUCUAUGUUUAUGAUUGUAAAUUGUCAGUGACAACUGAAGUUAGCUUCAGAUAAGUUUAGUUUUAGUGAGCCUAGAUAAAAUUACGAUGUUCUUGAGUUGACUUUCAAGACAAAGCCAGACAAUUUGGCCCUAACGCUCAGAGGAAAAAAAGCACAGUGCCAAGUUCAAACACAGACUUGCACUUUAUGUGGCUUUCAGAAAUUCAGUCACUGUCACUCCUUGGUCAACUCAGUACUUUAUUUCUCCAAACAGGCUGGAGUUAUUUUUACUUCCCAGUACAUGCAUCAGCUUGGGAAAGUACAAACAAGUAUAAUUCCAAAAGAUGCGAUUGUUACAUUGCGACUACUCAUGUUGUUUCUCACAACAGUUCCCAACUCAUAGUUUUAACAAGACCGUCAUAUUUGGCACCAAAGCAGUCGUUGCAGUGACAAAUAGUCAGUGUGAACAGAUAACAAUCAGCCCGAUAAAAUAUGAUUCUUAAAGCUUGUUUCUCUGAGCUUAAGAAUAUACCCAAUGGGCACAGUUUCUCUGAUUAAAAAGUAAGAAUUGAUUUCCUUGUUCAUUGUUACUAGAAACCGCAGGGUAAAUCCCGAGGUCUCCUCAUGCUCCAAAAAUAAUUAGUCACCCUCUACGCUAGUGGCUACACUGGAGUAAAAUGUAUGUGUCACUUUCUCUUGAAGUGGAGUGAAGCUGUCGGACAUGCUGAAAGCUGUUCCAGAUAGCCAUGACCUUCUCUAUCUUGUGGGGCCACGUCCUCUUAAAAGAUGCCAAAGGUCACUUGCUGCUUGCUUGUUCUCACUCUCUGAGGUUGGUCAUCAAGAGCAACACUCCAUUGUAAUACUGUGCCAGUAAACAGGAGAUGUAACAUGCACAGGCAGUUUAGUUAGGCAUAGGCGAUGUUUUGUACCAUCUUGAUUAGUGUUGCACCAAGUACCGGUACCAAACCGAGUCAACAUUUUAGCCAGCAAAAAUGAUUCAGUACCAUAAUUUUUUCAGUAUGGGGAUUUGAAAAACAAAUACAUAAAAAUCAGUGAUGCCGCUCCACUCUGUCAAAAGGGGGAUGCUGCUCAAUGUGUUGGUACCCAAGUCAAGUGCAGUCUUAGACACAGACAGAUGUGGCUACGAACUCUUGUACUUUGAUGUUUAACUAACUCCUUACAAAGAAAGAAGAUGCACGCAGUGUUGUCUGGACUUCUUUUGUAGACUUUCCACUUGGGAUGGGUACCAAGCCCCGGUACUAAACUGGCCCCUGGGGCUGAAUUAUUAACAACUGAAGUAUCGGUAUGCCUCAUGCUUUCACAUCAGCUGCAGCUGUAACAAAUUCCUUUCCAGAACAUUUAAUAAUUGUUUCUUCCAUAAUAGAUUAUAGUCCAGCCCUAAUUCCAAUGCAAUGUUGUUCUCAUGUGUCAAGAGGAAAACAUUGUCAUGGAUUGAACAGCAGUUUUUUAAUUUUGAUAUGGAUUGUUAGUUUUGUAAUGGACUAAAUUAAUCCAAAUGAUGUUUUAUUUUGUUUUUUGUUGCCCCCCAAAAUAAACAUUCCUGAUAAAUCCCAGCUGGAGUUAACUGUAUUUACUACUCUUUCAGAUGAUGAAUGACUUGCACCUGUCUUGCUUCUGGACUUGUGCCACUUAUCAUCCCUUGUUGCUGCCACUGUGAUGGAAUGUGUGGAAUGUACUUGGCAAGUUAUCAGUUCGAACAUCAUGUUGAUUGUGGUGUGGUGGGGAGCUGAGUCAACUCCGCUCAUUGAAAGAAAGCUUGUUUGCAUUUGACAUAAGGGAUUUACACCAACCCCUGUUCCUCCUCCAGUCGCAAAGGGUCACCAUGUGUGGAAGCCCUGAGGCCAUAUGAGUAGCCUCAUGCAAUCCUGUAAAAUGGAGAAAACUCAAGCUUUGUUCAACUGCAAUUCAUCGUGUUAACUGUUUUGAGCUCGAUCAACGGACUUGCUGUUAGUAGAGUCCUUAAUAUUAAUCUCAUUGAUAUCUGGAGUUAAGACGCUUUUGCAUCACUUCAGGCCUAGAAUACUUAAUAAUAAUAAUCUUCAUCAUCAUCAUCAUCAUAAUAGAGGUGUCCAAAUUAACCGAUUAAUCAACAACUAAUCAAUCAUCAAAUUAAUCAACAAAUAUUUCAUUCAUUGAGUAAUCAUUUAGACUCAGUUGUUUAAAAUUGACCAACUCCUCUAAUUUCAGCCUCUUAAUAAUAGUUACUCUCUUAUUCAUGUUGUCCUAAUGAAAGCAGACAGAUUAUUUUUGUGUUUAAUCAAAAGAAGUUAUUUGCAAAUAUGCGCUUUUUUUUUGGAAAACAAUGACCAGUCCAAUAACUGAAUCAGUUUCUACACGGUUGGUGAAUACAACAUCAACACCUCUUUUUGUGUUGCUGUUUAAUUGUUGUUUGGGGGGUUUUCCUUACCACUAAACAAUACCAAAAUAAACAAUAUUUGGUUAAUAAGUAGUUGGGAGAACAUUUUUUUGUGAUAUCUGACAAUUUGCCAGAGUCGCAUAUGAGGACUGACAUGUAAAAUUGCAAACUCCCGUUCAUAUCUUGUCCGAGCAGAAUUUUUGAAGAAUUUUAUUUAUUUCCGUCCUUUGCCCAUCGUCGAAAAAAACAAAAACAAAACACAAACCAAAAAAAACCACCACGCUCUAAGAUGGAUGCCCACUCCUACAUGUCCCUCACUCAGACACACUGAGGAGCUCUUAUCCCAGAGCCCAAUAAUGCAGUCAGUGUGAAGCCAGGAUUAAAUGCUUCCUGUGUCUCUUUACAGCCUUAGUUGACUCAUUACCUUCCUCCUAAGGUUAAUGUUUGAUCAGGGUGUAGAUGGCAAGCCAGAAAUUCACAGAGCUUCACUCUUCUCACUCUCUGGCACCACAAAACACCGGGUGUCUUUGGGCAAGUGCUUCAUGGGGUGAAGGAAGUGGAUGCUUGAUAUUGGGUCUACAUUUCUUUGCAAUCACGUCACAUAUUCCGUGGUGGAAAUAGUUCCACAAUCACCUGAAUUAAAAAAAGAAUGUGUGGGUUUGAACACCUCCGCUUUUUUAUGUUGAUACACCUUUGUUUAGGAAGUUGUCCUGACUGACAAUUUGGAUUGAAGCCUGAGCACGUUAUUUUAAGAGCCUGAGUCUAAAUUAUCCACUCAUCAACGAAUAGUUGAAUUUGAGAAUGCCAAACCCCAAAUAUGUGGGGGUCCACUGUAUUCUGAAGCCGAGUGCUUGUGCUACACCAGAUAUUGCAAAAGACAAAUUCAUACAUGUGUUAGUGCCUUCCCGCACAUACGCACAACAGUCAAGCCACAACAUAGCUGAGCGCAACAACAGUUGACGAUGAUUUCAGUUUGAAAAGAUGAGUGACUGAGUAGCCUUUGUUGGGUCUCUGGACUCCUGAGGGUCCGCAAAAUAAAUAGCAUUAAUCUCUGGGUAUCAUGACAAAAAGUGCAUUAUUACAUAUGGAAAACACUGUUGCCAAUAUAACAAAUGAUACAGUAAAUGAGUAGCUUACUUAUAUUGAUAUUGGGCCCUUGUCUUGGCACAUCGCCAGAGGCGCGGUCAUUUCCUAGUAGUCUCUCACUACCACGAAGAAUGUUAUUUAUAUUUGUCAACUACAUGCUACGCAAAACCCAAACCAGAUAUACAGAAACUCGAGCGAUGUCUACGGGUUGGCCAUCGAGAAUCAAGUGGAGCCGGGACUAACAUUUCGGUUUGCCCGGAAUCUAAAAUUUCAAUGCCUUCGUUUGCCGCAUGAAAGUCGCCGAACAUGAAUCAAGGAGGGCCAUUUGGAAAUGUGUGUGUGCGCAGUGCACACUAAUG